rnacentral:rRNA from 1 species
UGGGGAAUAUUGGGCAAUGGAGGGAACUCUUACCCAGCAAUGCCGCGUGAGCGAAGAAGGCCUUCGGGUUGUAAAGCUCUUUGAUUGGGGACGAAGCAAGUGACGGUACCCAAGGAACAAGUCCCGGCUAACUAUGUGCCAGCAGCCGCGGUAAUACAUAGGGGACUAGCGUUGUCCGGAAUUACUGGGCGUAAAGGGUGUGUAGGCGGUUUUUUAAGUUGGAAGUGUAAUACCCAGAGCUUAACUCGGGUGCUGCUUCCAAAACUGGAAGACUAGAGUAUGGGAGAGGAUAAUGGAAUUCCUAGUGUAGCGGUGGAAUGCAUAGAUAUUAGGAGGAACACCAGAGGCGAAAGCGAUUAUCUGGACCAUAACUGACGCUGAGGCACGAAAGCGUGGGGAGCGAACAGG